CUCCUGAAGAUUUGGAGGAGCAUCCUAAUGAUGAGGAAGAGGUGGAGGGAAUUGAUCUGCACCAGCAACGUUACCCGUGGGAGGGAAGUGACAUGGAUUACUUAUACGACGAGGUAAGCAUAUCAUUAGAUGGUUUGCGGUCCAUCUUUGAGAGCCGUCGAUUGUAAGUGUCUAUCGUUUUGAAGUUGUACUACACUAAGAUGUAAAGAAUUACUAAUCACGAUUACCUUACUAGCAGAGUUCUUUUGCACAGUUAUUGUCAAUGGAAUUAACACUGGAAAUUGAUGGUGCUAUAUUUCAUGUUCCAAAUGCUAACGCAAGCUCCAAUGUUGAUUCUCAGCUUUAACAUGCCAAAAUCACAAUGCAGUGGGUGUUGUAAGUGAAAUCACUAAGCUUGCAAUGUGUCAGGACAUCAAAAGCAUCUCAGCUGAUGGUUAGCUUUACAAUUUCGUUGGUUUCUUUUUCCUAUUAUGUUGGAUGAAUU